CAGGAGGAUGGGGGUAUUGAUGAAGAUGUGAACCAUCGAAUCAAGGCCGGAUGGAUGAAGUGGCGCCAAGCUUCUGGCAUUCUCUGUGACAAGAGAGUGCCACAAAAGCUAAAAGGCAAGUUCUACAGGACGGCGGUUCGACCCGCAAUGUUGUAUGGCGCUGAGUGUUGGCUGACUAAAAGGCGACAUGUUCAACAGUUAGGUGUGGCGGAGAUGCGUAUGUUGAGAUGCAUGUGUGGCCACACGAGGAAGGAUCGAGUCCGGAAUGAUGAUAUACGAGAUAGAGUUGGGGUAGCACCAAUUGAAGAGAAGCUUGUCCAACAUCGUCUGAGAUGGUUUGGGCAUAUUCAGCGCAGGCCUCCAGAAGCUCCAGUGCAUAGUGGACGGCUAAAGCAU
rnacentral:rRNA from 1 species